GAUGAAGAACGUAGCGAAAUGCGAUAAGUAAUGUGAAUUGCAGAAUUCAGUGAAUCAUCGAAUCUUUGAACGCACAUUGCGCCCUCUGGUAUUCCGGAGGGCAUGCCUGUUCGAGCGUCAUUAUAACCACUCAGCUCUCGCUUGGUAUUGGGGUUCGCGGUUCCGCGGCCCCUAAAAUCAGUGGCGGUGCCUGUCGGCUCUACGCGUAGUAAUACUCCUCGCGAUUGAGUCCGGUAGGUCUACUUGCCAGCAACCCCCAAUUUUUACAGGUUGACCUCGGAUCAGGUAGGGAUACCCGCUGAACUUAAGCAUAUCAAUAAGCGGAGGA
rnacentral:misc_RNA from 1 species